rnacentral:rRNA from 1 species
GAUGAACGCUGGCGGCGUGCCUAAUACAUGCAAGUCGAGCGAACAGACGAGGAGCUUGCUCCUUUGACGUUAGCGGCGGACGGGUGAGUAACACGUAGGUAACCUACCUAUAAGACUGGGAUAACUUCGGGAAACCGGAGCUAAUACCGGAUAAUAUUUCGAACCGCAUGGUUCGAUAGUGAAAGAUGGCUUUGCUAUCACUUAUAGAUGGACCUGCGCCGUAUUAGCUAGUUGGUAAGGUAACGGCUUACCAAGGCAACGAUACGUAGCCGACCUGAGAGGGUGAUCGGCCACACUGGAACUGAGACACGGUCCAGACUCCUACGGGAGGCAGCAGUAGGGAAUCUUUCGCAAUGGGCGAAAGCCUGACGGAGCAACGCCGCGUGAGUGAUGAAGGUCUUCGGAUCGUAAAACUCUGUUAUUAGGGAAGAACAAACGUGUAAGUAACUGUGCACGUCUUGACGGUACCUAAUCAGAAAGCCACGGCUAACUACGUG